CCAACGUGGUAAUGCUGGCAUAAUAAUUCCCGGUUGCCAUUUUCUGACAUUUGAAAAGAUCUGAAGAUACGCCCCUUGGAUGCCUGCAGAGAAGCUCUGGGGCUUCAGUCAAUGACUCAGGGUAGCCACCGAACAUGAUGCUCGGGCAGUGGGUGCCACCUGGACUCCACUCUCCCCUCUCUCUGGGAUCAUAGAGUCCAAGGUGUUCUGUGGCCUCUCGGCCAAUCCCAGCAGCUCAGCGUGCAGAAGACCGAGGAGCCAUUGGUCAGUGUAGGAGGUGCCUGGAGUUUUGGAGAUGGGAUCCACAGGAAUUCAACACAACACGAAAUAAUCAACAAAUUCGGGGAAUGUUAAUCUGACCAUCACCAGUUACAAAUGAUGUUUCAUGCUACCUUCUAUUCCUGCCUUCAUAAAUCAAGGAAAAGAAAAAGAGAACAUAUAUCCCCCUACCUUUUGAUUUCCAACAGUCUACUGAGAGGCCAAGAUUAUUUGCAGGGAAAGAAAAGGGGUCAAAAUGUUUUGCCAGUAACUCCCAAAUCAUCUACAGCCAAGGAGAAAAGUGUUUCAAGACAGAGGUGCUCAAUGGUAUCAAAUACUGCCAACAGACCAAGUAAUACAUGCAUUGAAGUGUCUACUGGAUCUAGCUAUAUGAAUUUUUAAUUUAGGACACUUAGGCCAUACUGAAGCAAGGUGACAAAAUGAAUAGCUACAAUGUCUCGUGAAUCUUGGGUUUCCAUUCACCCUGGUAUUCAAGAGAAAUUCUUGCAUCAUGGAAGUUGCAGUUGGAUAGGACUUUCUCAGCUGAACACUGUCAUCUGCCAGAGCUUCAGGCAAGAACCCAGAACAGAUGAAACCCCAGACAUGACAAAAUAAGCCAAAGAAUACCAGGCCAAGGUGUGAAAGGCCAGAUGAGAACAAGCAGCGUACACGAUUCUGUUGCCAACAGAUCUCCCCUAACAGUGUCGUGCACCAAAUUUCCACAGUGAAUGUCAGGAAAAAAUGGCAAUUGAGAUGAAGAAACUGAGGCAGACAGAGGUGAAGAAACUUGCACAAGGUCAAAGAACAAACGAUACAUAUUUUAAUAUGAUGAGUCUCCUGGGAUCUUUUAAAACGAAGUUGUUCAUACAUUAUAAUAAAUCCA
rnacentral:lncRNA from 1 species